AUAAUUAUACUAAAUAUUGUCAUUUACCAUCAAAAUAGGUUCUAAAUAAAGACUAAUAACAUUCCAUGAAGUUCUAGAAAUAUUCAAAAUGACAUCCCAUUAAAAUAAGGAUUUAAUUGACAUGCACCGACGGUGUAAAAUAAUUUUACACUGUCAACCAAUACCAACCAUGUUUUCCGCCACAUCACCCCACUCCACCCCACUUUCUUGAUAUGACAUGGCAAAAUAAUGGUUUUUUAUUGGACGAUUGUGCAAAACUAUUUUACAC
rnacentral:lncRNA from 1 species